rnacentral:rRNA from 1 species
AUUUUGCUUUACUAGGAAAUCUUAAUUCAACAUCGAGGUGACAAACUUCAUCAGUGAUAAGGACUCUUUAAUGAAAUUAUCCUGUUAUCCCUAAAGUAGCUUUUAUUUAAUAAUCGUUAAUCUAAUUUUUAAGAGUAAACGGGUCAUUAUAGCCCACAUUAUGAUUGUUAAAAAUAUAAUUUAUACAAUAAGCAAAUUUUUAUUUGUUUUGCUUGCUUUUUUUAUUUUUAAAAAGCCCUUGCCCCAAGUAAACUACCAAUUCUUAUAGUCCUAUAUUAGGAAAUUAAGAAUUAUAGUUAAGCUUUAUAGGGUCUUAUCGUCUUACGAUUUUAAAUAGCAUCUUAACUAUUAUUUUAAUUUUCUUUUAUUUACACUUGAGACAGUGAAAUUUUCGUGAAACCAUUCAUACUCUCCGCCAAUUAAACGGUGAUUGAUUGUGCUACCUUAACACAGUCAGAAAUACUGCGGCCAUUAAA